rnacentral:tRNA from 1 species
UUUAACUUGGCAGAUUAUGCAUUUGAUUUAGAAUCAACUUAUAAAUUUAUAUUUAGUUGGUA